UACGGAGGAUGCGAGCGUUAUCCGGAUUUAUUGGGUUUAAAGGGUGCGUAGGCGGACUGUCAAGUCAGCGGUAAAAUACGGGGGCUCAACCUCCGCCCGCCGUUGAAACUGACGGUCUUGAGUGGGCGAGAAGUAUGCGGAAUGCGUGGUGUAGCGGUGAAAUGCAUAGAUAUCACGCAGAACUCCGAUUGCGCAGGCAGCUUGCUAAUCCGCAUCUGACGCUGAUGCACGAAAGCGUGGGUAGCGAACAGG
rnacentral:rRNA from 1 species